UGUGUUGGAACUAUUCGAAACAACACAGCAAGUUAAAAUAAGGUUUAUCCGUAUUCAACUUGAAAAAGUGCGCACCGAUUCGGUGCUUUUUUA
rnacentral:sRNA from 1 species